rnacentral:misc_RNA from 1 species
GAUGAAGAACGUAGCAAAAUGCGAUAAGUAAUGUGAAUUGCAGAAUUCAGUGAAUCAUCGAAUCUUUGAACGCACAUUGCGCCCGCCAGUAUUCUGGCGGGCACGCCUGUUCGAGCGUCAUUUCAACCCUCAAGCACAGCUUGGUGUUGGGACUCGCGUUAAUUCGCGUUCCCCAAAUUGAUUGGCGGUCACGUCGAGCUUCCAUAGCGUAGUAGUAAAACCCUCGUUACUGGUAAUCGUCGCGGCCACGCCGUUAAACCCCAACUUCUGAAUGUUGACCUCGGAUCAGGUAGGAAUACCCGCUGAACUUAAGCAUAUCAAUAAGCGGAGGA